AGUGAACGCUGGCGGUAGGCCUAACACAUGCAAGUCGAACGGCAGCACAGUAAGAGCUUGCUCUUACGGGUGGCGAGUGGCGGACGGGUGAGGAAUACAUCGGAAUCUACUUUUUCGUGGGGGAUAACGUAGGGAAACUUACGCUAAUACCGCAUACGACCUACGGGUGAAAGCAGGGGAUCUUCGGACCUUGCGCGAUUGAAUGAGCCGAUGUCGGAUUAGCUAGUUGGCGGGGUAAAGGCCCACCAAGGCGACGAUCCGUAGCUGGUCUGAGAGGAUGAUCAGCCACACUGGAACUGAGACACGGUCCAGACUCCUACGGGAGGCAGCAGUGGGGAAUAUUGGACAAUGGGCGCAAGCCUGAUCCAGCCAUACCGCGUGGGUGAAGAAGGCCUUCGGGCUGUAAAGCCCUUUUGUUGGGAAAGAAAAGCAGCAGGUUAAUACCCCGCUGUUCUGACGGUACCCAAAGAAUAAGCACCGGCGAACUUCGU
rnacentral:rRNA from 1 species